GGGAAUUGGACGGCGAUGGCUUCGGUGCAGAUGGGCUGCCUUCAGGGUUUCUUUACUCUGAAUUCUCCGGGUAGGCAGGGUUCCUAUGCCAAAGUUUCUAUCCGUCCUUCUCUGUUCUCUCUCUUUCUUUUUCCUCAAGGUUUUGUUCCAAGGAAACCUCAGAGUGUUUUGCUUCUCUUCCUUCUUUCUCCAGUGAAUCUCCCAGUGUAAACUCCAAGUCUAACUCCCCUACUGAAACUUCAGUAUUUAUAGACUAAUUUCGUGGGUAAUGGGCUUGGAAUGAGGGAGACCCAAGUCCAAAAUAAUUUGUUAUAUUUUAUUUAUUUAUUUAUUUUAAUUAUUUAAUUAAUUAAUUAAUUAAUUAAUUAAUUAAUUAAAUAAAAAAAAUAAAUAAAUAAAUAAAAUAUAACAAAUUAUUUUGGACUUGGGUCUCCCUCAUUCCAAGCCCAUUACCCACGAAAUUAGUCUAUAAAUACUGAAGUUUCAGUAGGGGAGUUACACUUGGAGUUUACACUGGGAGAUUUACUGGAGAAAGAAGGAAGAGAAGCAAAACACUCUGAGGUUUCCUUGGAACAAAACCUUGAGGAAAAAGAAAGAGAGAGAACAGAGAAGGACGGAUAGAAACUUU
rnacentral:lncRNA from 1 species